GAUGAACGCUGGCGGCGUGCCUAAUACAUGCAAGUCGAGCGAACAGACGAGGAGCUUGCUCCUCUGACUUUAGCGGCGGACAGGUGAGUAGCACGUGGAUAACCUACCUAUAAGACUGUGAUAACUUCGGGAAACCGGAGCUAAUACCGGAUAAUAUAUUGAACCGCAUGGUUCAAUAGUGAAAGACGGUUUUGCUGUCACUUAUAGAUGGAUCCGCGCCGCAUUAGCUAGUUGGUAAGGUAACGGCUUACCAAGGCAGCGAUGCGUAGCCGACCUGAGAGGGGGAUCGGCCACACUGGAACUGAGACACGGUCCAGACUCCUACGAGAGGCAGCAGCAGGGAAUCUUCCGCAAUGGGCGAAAGCCUGACGGAGCAACGCCGCGUGAGUGAUGAAGGUCUUCGGAUCGUAAAACUCUGUUAUCAGGGAAGAACAAAUGUGUAAGUAACUAUGCACGUCUUGACGGUACCUAAUCAGAAAGCCACGGCUAACUACGUG
rnacentral:rRNA from 1 species